UAAGGAGAGGGCAAGUCUGGUGUCAGCCCCCGCGGUAAUACCAGCUCUCCGAGUGGUGUGGACGUUUAUUGGGCCUAAAGCAUCCGUAGCUCGCUGAACAAGUCCCCUGUUAAACCCACCGAUUCAAUCGAUGGCGUGCGGGGGAUACUGCUCGGCUAGGGGACGAGAGAGGCAGACGGUAUUCCCGGGGUAGGGGUGAAAUCCUAUAAUCCCGAGAAGACCACCAGUGGCGAAGGCUGUCUGCUAGAACGCGCCCGACGGUGAGGGAUGAAAGCUGGGGGAGCGAACCGGAUUAGAUACCCGGGUAGUCCCAGCUGUAAACGAUGCAGACUAGGUGUUUGGACGGCCACGUGCCGUUCUAGUGCCGCAGGGAAGCUGUUAAGUCUGCCGCCUGGGGAGUACGAUCGCAAGAUUGAAACUUAAAGGAAUUGGCGGGGGAGCACCACAAGGGGUGAAGCUUGCGGUUUAAUUGGAGUCAACACCGGAAAUCUCACCGGGAGCGACAGCAGUGUGAAGGCCAGAUUAAAGGUCUUGCCAGACGAGCUGAGAGGAAGUGCAUGGCC
rnacentral:rRNA from 1 species